rnacentral:tRNA from 1 species
UAGAGUGUAGCUCAAGGGUAGAGCACUUGACUAGUAUGUCAAGGCCCUGAGUUCUACCCUCAGCACUACAA